rnacentral:rRNA from 1 species
UACGUAGGGUGCAAGCGUUAAUCGGAAUUACUGGGCGUAAAGCGUGCGCAGGCGGUUCGGAAAGAGAGGUGUGAAAUCCCAGGGCUUAACCUUGGAACUGCACUUCUAACUACCGGGCUAGAGUACGUCAGAGGGGGGUAGAAUUCCACGUGUAGCAGUGAAAUGCGUAGAGAUGUGGAGGAAUACCGAUGGCGAAGGCAGCCCCCUGGGAUGAUACUGACGCCCAUGCACGAAAGCGUGGGGAGCAAACAGG